UCCUCCUGUCGGGGUCCCUGCCUGCAGUGUGGGGGGCCGCCUAUGAGAAGGCUCUGUGGGCCCCUCCUCUGGGGCCCUCCCUGGCAGGCGGCCAGCAGUUCUUCUAGGCUGAAUGAGUUAUUUUGAAGCCAAUGUGGGAGGUGGAUUAAUGAGCAGUUGGCUCUGGAACUGUGAUCGGUGCCAGCCCCCAGCUCCCACCCUUGUGCCCACUGGCUCUGGAAAUGCCACCGAGCAUGGGCCUCCCUCCCCAGGGCUGAGCAGCAAGAGGCAGGCUAGGAGGCCCACUGUCCUGUCUCACCCAUCUCCCAUCCUCAGGCCUCCGGGGCAGGAAGGGGCGUGUGGUGGUUCUUCUCAGGUCAAGCCGAGCUCCUAGCGGGCCAUCCUUGAGAGUCCCCAGCAGGACUUCGAGGCCCCUCCGAGGCUGCCCCAGUUCUCUGCUCUGGGCACAGUGCGUUGGUUGUCCAACAUUCCUGUGAAUCUUUAGCAGCAACAAAAGUUCGGAGCCCUUGCCUGCCACAGCCAGCCGCAUUCCAAGAGGGACAUGCAGCUGGGGUUCCUGCUCCCAUUUAGCACAUGAGGAGCAGGCGCAGCCAGUCACACAGCCAGGGGGUGGGGGAGUCCAGGAACCCAUCUCCUGUGCGUGCCCGUCUACCAUGACGCUCCCUCAAGCCACAAAUGCUCCCUCCUCCCUCUCUCUCCCCGCCUCCCCGUCCUCCUCCUCUCACUCCUUCCUCUGUGGCCCUCAUGCUUGCUCUGUCCCCCUUCUGAUGACCCCAAAUCCUUUCCACCCUCUUCCCAGGGUUUCCUCCCCAUUGGGCCAUGACCUCCACAAAAGCAGUGGCACAACAGACCCAUCUCAGUCACCCCAGCAUCCAGCACAGGGCUGGUCACAGCAGCAUCCACAACUGUCCACUGUCCACUGAGUGACCAAGUGAAUGAAUGUGUGCAGCCCAGUGCGACCCGGAGCUCCCUUCCAAGCAAUCUGUUCCUCCGGCUUGCAUGCCUCUGGCUGUGGGAAGCUCACUUCCUUAUGAAGAAUCCGUUUCCACCUUUAGAUGGUUCUGUCCAUCUGGAAGGCUGGCCUUAUGUCUUUAUUUCCAGCCACCAUGAGAACAGAAGGUCUCUGGAGUGGGGACCUCAUCUCUAACCCUGGAGCCUUCCACAGGGCCUGGUACACAGGCAUUAAUAACUGUGUGCCCAAUGACAUCAUCCCCAUCCCCAUCACCAUUCUCUUCAUAGAGGCAGAAGAGCCAUGAAGCGGCUAAAAACCAGGCCUCUGGGCCAUACUGUCGGGCGCUGGGGCUGAAUCCGGGACUCAACCAGUGUUUCCAAGCAGCCUCAGAGAUAGAAGCAGGCAGGGCUGAGAACGCUGAUUCCCCACUGCUCAAGCAGGCAUCUUGAUUUUGCCCAGAAUUUAGGCUUUUUCUCUUAAAUCUUUCUCAUUCCCCUGUAAACACAGAAUCCCUUCAGGAUCUGCAGGGGAAAGGAAAUUCAUGUAUAAUGAACAUCUCCUGUGUGCCUCGUGAGUUUGUUUGCUCUUCCUAACAACCCCAUGAUUGAAGCCCCUGCUUUACACAUGAGGAGCCUGAGGCUCCUCAGAGAGGCUGAUGCACUUGUUCAAGGACACACAGCUGGGAGAGAUGAACCUGGGACUGCACCUCAGUGCUGUGCGACCCCAGGAUCUUGGGGUUUGGAACUGGAGGAGUUCUGUGGAAGUUGGAGCCAGCAUGUUCUGUAGAGCCAGAAACAGGCUUUGGCUGCCCCUGAAGCCUGAUCCAAAGGUAGCGAGUUCCUCCACUGGAGGA
rnacentral:lncRNA from 1 species